rnacentral:rRNA from 1 species
UGGGGAAUUUUCCGCAAUGGGCGAAAGCCUGACGGAGCAAUACCGCGUGAGGGAGGAAGGCUUUUGGGUUGUAAACCUCUUUUUUAAAGGAAGAAGAAAGUGACGGUACUUUAAGAAUCAGCAUCGGCUAACUCCGUGCCAGCAGGCGCGGUAAUACGGAGGAUGCAAGCGUUAUCCGGAAUUAUUGGGCGUAAAGCGUCCGUAGGCGGCUUUUUAAGUCUGUUGUCAAAGCCCACAGCUCAACUGUGGAUCGGCAAUGGAAACUGGGGAGCUUGAGUGUGGUAGGGGUAGAGGGAAUUCCCGGUGUAGCGGUGAAAUGCGUAGAUAUCGGGAAGAACACCAGUGGCGAAGGCGCUCUACUGGGCCACAACUGACGCUGAUGGACGAAAGCUAGGGGAGCGAAAGGGAUUAGAUACCCCUGUAGUCC